AAGCUACACACAAUGACUGGACACCAGAUAGAAGGAAAAACACUACUAAAAUAGUCCUUUGGUAUCCACUUACAAAAAUAAAUCUACCGAGCCUAAGAAGUCCACAGCUUUCCAGAUUUUGACAGGGGAAAAACUUUAACAACUCCAGAGCAGAUUAAUUCAUGUCUCUCAGCUGGCUUUCUUGGCUUAAUGCUCCAUGAAUUGAUCCACUUCAUCAGUACUACUCAUUGAACUCUCCUUCAGAACCAGAACUCAUUUUAUUACAUGUGAAUUUUGUUCAACUAAAAUGGCACAGCAAAACAAUGUGUCUGGUCAAUGCAAAGAACAUCUGACAAAGAAAUCACCUAAAAGUCAUUGUCCAGUUUCCAGCUGCCCUUCAAAAAUUCAAGAAGUAGUUUUAGAUAAAGCACAUUACACUGAUUAUUCCAUUGCCGCUUUCCAAUUCUCCCAGAUGUUUGUUUGCAUAAAAAAUGAUCCAUUACAUACCUGUAAAACUUGUUCUUCUGAAGAUGACAUAAAUAGAUUAAUUCAAUUUGGUUUUGGUUUACAACAGCCAGGAGCACUGUCUAAAGAACUCAUUAACAGCAGCAAGUCCCACCUAGAUACAACCACUACCUUUCCCCUGUAGGUUUAUAGAGAAGAAUUCUAAAGAUACCCCAGAUCAUAAGUACCUGUGUACUUUCACUUUAUUAUUCUUUACAUGAAGACUGAAGGGUAAGCUGCAGAGUGACGUUUAAAAAAUCCACCCUUCACAAAUAGUAAAUUGGUUAAAUAAAAGGUUUCUGAAUACAUAAGUUAUAAUAUUCUUAUCAUUUAAGGUGCUUCAAUUUUGGAAUAAUGUGAUAAGCAAUGCCUUAAAACAUGAUGAACUGCAGUAAAAGGUUAUUCUUUUUUUUACAGGAAUGAGCAAAGUACCAUCUAAAAUUUGCCCAAUCUGUUUGAAAAGCCAGGGUUUUUACUCAAACCACUGGUAAAUUAACUGAGGAAGCAGAAGUCUUUAAACGUUUCUGUUGUGCGGAGAAUAAAGAACUGUGAAGUCUAACACUCGUUUAG
rnacentral:lncRNA from 7 species